rnacentral:rRNA from 1 species
AUGUUGAUCCUUGCUCAGGAUGAACGCUGGCGGCCUGCUUAACACAUGCAAGUCGAACGGUGAACACGGAGCUUGCUCUGUGGGAUCUAGUGGCGAACGGGUGAGUAACACGUGAGCAACCUGCCCCUGACUCUGGGAUAAGCGCUGGAAACGGCGUCUAAUACUGGAUACGAGUAGCGACCGCAUGGUCAGUUACUGGAAAGAUUUAUUGGUUGGGGAUGGGCUCGCGGCCUAUCAGCUUGUUGGUGAGGUAAUGGCUCACCAAGGCGUCGACGGGUAGCCGGCCUGAGAGGGUGACCGGCCACACUGGGACUGAGACACGGCCCAGACUCCUACGGGAGGCAGCAGUGGGGAAUAUUGCACAAUGGGCGCAAGCCUGAUGCAGCAACGCCGCGUGAGGGAUGACGGCUUCGGGUUGUAAACCUCUUUUAGYAGGGAAGAAGCGAAAGUGACGGUACCUGCAGAAAAAGCGCCGGCUAACUACGUGCCAGCAGCCGCGGUAAUACGUAGGGCGCAAGCGUUAUCCGGAAUUAUUGGGCGUAAAGAGCUCGUAGGCGGUUUGUCGCGUCUGCUGUGAAAUCCGGAGGCUCAACCUCCGGCCUGCAGUGGGUACGGGCAGACUAGAGUGCGGUAGGGGAGAUUGGAAUUCCUGGUGUAGCGGUGGAAUGCGCAGAUAUCAGGAGGAACACCGAUGGCGAAGGCAGAUCUCUGGGCCGUAACUGACGCUGAGGAGCGAAAGGGUGGGGAGCAAACAGGCUUAGAUACCCUGGUAGUCCACCCCGUAAACGUUGGGAACUAGUUGUGGGGUCCAUUCCACGGAUUCCGUGACGCAGCUAAC